AAAGUCGUAACAAGGUUUCCGUAGGUGAACCUGCGGAAGGAUCAUUACCAAAUCUUUGUGUCCUGACUGAAAGGUCUUGACGCUUUUAACCCUUUGUGAACUAAAUUUCAUACGCUUCGGUAGCAAGCUAGGUUGAUUUUAUGUCCGACCUAGCUGUUAGCCUGCCGUGAGCACCAUUAUUAAAAACUAUUUCAAUCAAACGUCUGAAUAAUCAGAUUUUUGAAUGAAAAUCAAAACUUUCAACAACGGAUCUCUUGGUUCUC
rnacentral:misc_RNA from 1 species